rnacentral:rRNA from 1 species
UCGGGAACUCUGAGACAGGUGCUGCAUGGCUGUCGUCAGCUCGUGUUGUGAAAUGUUGGGUUAAGUCCCGCAACGAGCGCAACCCUUAUCCUUUGUUGCCAGCGGUCCGGCCGGGAACUCAAAGGAGACUGCCAGUGAUAAACUGGAGGAAGGUGGGGAUGACGUCAAGUCAUCAUGGCCCUUACGAGUAGGGCUACACACGUGCUACAAUGGCGCAUACAAAGAGAAGCGACCUCGCGAGAGCAAGCGGACCUCAUAAAGUGCGUCGUAGUCCGGAUUGGAGUCUGCAACUCGACUCCAUGAAGUCGGAAUCGCUAGUAAUCGUAGAUCAGAAUGCUACGGUGAAUACGUUCCCGGGCCUUGUACACACCGCCCGUCACACCAUGGGAGUGGGUUGCAAAAGAAGUAGGUAGCUUAACCUUCGGGAGGGCGCUUACCAC